AACAUUGAUAUCUUGGAUUACUGGAGCAAGUCUGCAGCUAGGUAUCCGCAGCUAGCAAGAUUGGCACGUGAUAUCCUUGUUGUUCCCGUGUCAAGUGUUGCAUCAGAAUCUGCUUUCAGCUUGAGUAAAAAGGUUAUAACCCCGAGCCGAGCCUCACUUAAACCAAAGAUGGUUGAGGCCUUGAUGUGUUUGCAAGAUUGGUAUCGCUGCAAAUUGGAGAAGAAAGAUGGUAAUAAGAGAAAGGCGGAAGUGGUUGAGCUAGAUGAUGAAAAUUCUUCUUCCGAUGAUGAAUAGUUCUUGCUAGAGCAAUGAGAUGAGUAGAAGAUUCGGAGAAGGCAUGUCGAGAUGGCAACCAGCAGCUACUGGUCCUUAUUUUUGGUUCUAUGAAUUGGCCAUCUAGCGUGUAAUAAUACAUUUAUGCACUUG